rnacentral:tRNA from 2 species
GCGGCCAUGGCGGAAUUGGCAGACGCGCAGGAUUUAGGUUCCUGUAUCGAAAGAUGUGUGGGUUCAAGUCCCACUGGCCGCA